rnacentral:rRNA from 1 species
GUUGAACGCUGGCGGCAGGCCUAACACAUGCAAGUCGAGCGGAUGGAGGGGGCUUUUUCUUCUCUUCCGCGGCGGACGGGUGGGUGAUUCCUAGGAGUCUGCCUGAUCUUUGAGGAUAACGUCCGUACACGAGCCCUAAUCCCGCAUCGGUCCUUAUGGUGAAAGUGAUGGUUCUUCAGACCUCGCGCUAUCUGCUGUGCCUGGGUCGCAUUAGCUAGUUGGUUAGGUAAAGGCCUACCAAGGCGACGAUGCGUAGCUGGCCUGAGAGGAUGAUCUGUCACACUGGAACUGAGACACGGUCCAGACUCCUACGGGAGGCAGCAGUAGGGAAUAUUCGGCAAUGGGCGAAAGCCUGACGGAGCAACGCCGCGUGAGUGAAGAAGGUCUUCGGAUCGUAAAACACUGUUAGUAGGGAAGAACAAAUGUGUAAGUAACUAUGCACGUCUUGACGGUACCAAAUCAGAAAGCCACGGCUAACUACGUG